rnacentral:rRNA from 1 species
GACGAACGCUGGCGGCGCGCCUAACACAUGCAAGUCGAACGGAAAGGCCUGCUUUCCCUUGUGGAUUGCGGGUACUCGAGUGGCGAACGGGUGAGUAACACGUGAGUGAUCUGCCCCCAACUUGGGUAUAAGCCUGGGAAACUGGGUCUAAUUCCCGAUAGGACUGCAGGGUGGUGCCUGUGGUGGAAAACGAUUUUCUAGUGGUUGGGGAUGAGCUCGCGGCCUAUCAGCUUGUUGGUGGGGUAAUGGCCUACCAAGGCGGCGACGGGUAGCCGGCCUGAGAGGGUGGACGGCCACAUUGGGACUAAGAUACGGCCCAGAAUCCUACGGGAGGCAGCAGUGGGGAAUAUUGCACAAUGGGCGGAAGCCUGAUGCAGCGACGCCGCGUGGGGGAUGACGGCCUUCGGGUUGUAAACUCCUUUCGACCGCGAGGAAGCCGCCUGGUUGGAAGGGUGGUGACGGUAGUGGUAGAAGAAGCACCGGCUAACUACGUG